GACGGGCUGGGCCGUCCGGGCCGCGUCCCUGGCGCGGGCGCGCGCGACGUUCGGCGCCGCCGGGGCCGUCG
rnacentral:tRNA from 1 species